UCUCGGUGGCCUACGAGGAGAUGGCCGACGGUCUCUCCGAGACUGUCGACGAUAUCCGGCAGUUCGCGACUGACGUUGAGAA
rnacentral:tRNA from 1 species